UACGUAGGGGGCAAGCGUUAUCCGGAUUUACUGGGUGUAAAGGGAGCGUAGACGGUGAUGCAAGUCAGAAGUGAAAGCCCGGGGCUCAACUCCGGGACUGCUUUUGAAACUGUGUGACUGGAGUGCAGGAGAGGUAAGCGGAAUUCCUGGUGUAGCGGUGAAAUGCGUAGAUAUCUGGAGGAACAUCAGUGGCGAAGGCGGCCACCUGGACCGGUAUUGACGCUGAGGCGCGAAAGCGUGGGGAGCAAACAGG
rnacentral:rRNA from 1 species